UCAAGAAGAUAACCAGUCAAGGCAACACCAACAAUCCCAGGUAUUGCUCCAACAGUGUUUGUAAUACCCAACAGUAUACUUGCAUAUUCAGGAGAUAUAUCUUGAUGCGUGCAAUAUAGUCCAGACAGGGCAAAGCUUGAGAGGGCCAAGCCACCGGUUAGAAUCCCCACAAUUUCCCAAGGGGGCAGCCCUAGAUCUACAGAGGAGAGAGUCAUGCAAACGGCAGGAGACAAAAAGGCAACUGCUUGGCAAGUCUUUCGCACCGUAGUUGUUUCAACUCCAUUGGCAAUUAAGUUGUCAGCAAGCUGUGCAGCAAUGCUAGUUACGAAAAUUGAAGCCAAAGGAGGAAGAAUGGAAACCCAUGCAGCUUCUGUCAAAUUUAAGCUCAGCUCCUCACUAAAAUAAGAAGGAAGCCAAGAUAAACAAG
rnacentral:misc_RNA from 1 species